AUGAACGCUGGCAGCGUGCCUCAUACAUGCAAGUCGAGCGAACAGACGAGGAGCUUGCUCCUCUGACGUUAGCGGCGGACGGGUGAGUAACACGUGGAUAACCUACCUAUAAGACUGGGAUAACUUCGGGAAACCGGAGCUAAUACCGGAUAAUAUAUUGAACCGCAUGGUUCAAUAGUGAAAGACGGUUUUGCUGUCACUUAUAGAUGGAUCCGCGCCGCAUUAGCUAGUUGGUAAGGUAACGGCUUACCAAGGCAACGAUGCGUAGCCGACCUGAGAGGGUGAUCGGCCACACUGGAACUGAGACACGGUCCAGACUCCUACGGGAGGCAGCAGUAGGGAAUCUUCCGCAAUGGGCGAAAGCCUGACGGAGCAACGCCGCGUGAGUGAUGAAGGUCUUCGGAUCGUAAAACUCUGUUAUUAGGGAAGAACAAAUGUGUAAGUAACUAUGCACGUCUUGACGGUACCUAAUCAGAAAGCCACGGCUAACUACGUG
rnacentral:rRNA from 1 species